rnacentral:lncRNA from 1 species
GCAAGGGAAGUUAAUCAAUGAGAUUAUGAGGGCGCCGAAUUUUCUGCGCUGACGAGAAUAGAGCACAACAGAAGUCGCUCUGCCAAAAAUUCAAAUUUCCAGUUUCUUGGCCACCCUCCAACUGCAAUAAGAUUUGCCGACAUUCUUCUAUUCUAUAUUCUAAAUACAACAUAAACUAACUCAACCUAAGCUAACUAUGCCACCUUUGACUUACAGUUUAUUAAUCCUUUCAUCUGGAUCUGGGACACGAGCGUUGAGUCAAUAUAUUACUAUUUUUUAAUACCAAUUAUCAUAAAGUAAAAAAAAACAUAAAAGUAUAUAGUAAUUGUUGAUGCAAUUUUUUUAACAGUAACUAUUUUUUUUCAGAAUUUCAACUAUAUCAAGCUUUGAGGGUGUCCAAUCACGUGGUUUCCUGUCAUUAAUUAUUCUGCAAAAAAAAAUAAUAAUAAUUGUCAAAGGGUGCUAGGGUUAACAACAAUAACUCUUUGGUGCUCUAGUUAACUCUUUGUACUUAAUUUUUAGAUAGAGAGAGCUUAGAGGGAAGUGGAAAAUUUUUUUGUAUUCUAGUGCUCUAGUUAACUCUUUUUAUAUCUUACCUCAAAAUGUAGGGGUCGUAGCCUUUAUAUAGACAACUUGAAGCAUUGAGGUAGAGGAGUUAUCAUGACACGACAAGUGUCCACAAAACCCAUGCAUAAUGGCACGUAUAAAUAUGUGUGAAUACUUGUUUCUUGACUAGUAUUUUUGGACACUUGUCUUGAUUUUUUGUUGUUUUGAUUUUUGGUUCAUGACUUUUAAUGGGUUUGGGCUUGACUUUGGCCCUUAUAUUGGUUCCUCAUUGAGAGAAUUGAUUUAGUAUCAUAUUGCUUAUAAGUGAACUUUUGCAAAAGUCUUUACCCGUAGGCACUUAAAAUAAUUUCUACUGCACUUAAAAUAAUUUCUAAGUAACUAGCCUUAGUCCAUUUUUGUAUAGAAUGGUCCUAGGGAAUAUUUUUAACAAGAUUUUUCCAUAAGCGUAUUUGUAAAAUUUUGCCCAUAGGCACUUAAAAUGUUUGCCCCUAGCACUUUACGUCAAGUGUUUGUUUGCCCAUAGACUCAUUCGUAAUAUGUUUGUUUGCCCAUACACUCAUCGCAUAGAAGGUAUGUUUGUUCAUAUGCUUAUUCCGUAGAAUAUUUGUUGGCUCAUAGGCUCAUUUCGUUGAUGCCUAUAGGCGAAUUUUGCAUAAUGUUUUUUGGCCUGUAAGCUCAUCUAUAAAAUGUAUAUUUGCCAGUAAGCUCAUUUCGUAAAAUGUAAUUUUUCCCAAUAGGUACAAUCCAUAAAAUGUAUUUUUGGCCCAUAAGCUCAUUUGAUAAAAUGUUUGUUUGCUCGUGGUUCAUUCCAUAGAAUGCUUGUUUGUCAAUAUGCCUAUUUUGUAGAAUAUUUGUUGGCUUGCAAGCUCAUUUUGUAGAAUUUAUGUACCCAUAGGCUCUUUAUGUAAAUUGUUUCUAUAUACAUAGGUCAAUCUUGCGGGGAAUAGAACUAGGUCAUUUUUUUCAAAUCAUACAAUUAGGUAUUUUGUUAGUUCUUGCCUUUAGGCAAUUUAAAUAGAAUAUUUUCUAAAUACCUAGGUCAUUCUGGUAGACAAUAGCCGAGGUAAUCACUCCCUUAGGCAAUUUAAAUAGAAUACUUUCUAAGUACCUAGUUCAUUCUUAUGGACAAUCGACCUGGGUCAUUUUAUGUAGAAAGUUUUUGUUGAGUCUAUCUUUUUAUGGACUUUUGGGCUUUUUAUAAUUUGGUAUAGUAGAGAACCCCCAAGUCUCACUUUUCAAAUUUGAGAAGCAAGACUUUCUUUUCUUUUGUUUUCUUUUAGGGUUUAUUGGGUUUUUCCUUUUAUGGAUUGAAUUUCAAAAUAAAAAAAUUCUCUAAAGCAUCCAUCCUCUUAAAAUCAAUCUGUAACCAAUCUUAAAUAGCUUACUGACAGCCCUAUAGAAUUUAUCUUAACAAUUUUUAAAAUUCGUAAAGAGAGGGAGAGAGACAGAAAGUACCUCUUUUGAAAAAGACUUUUGAUUUUCUAAAGUGUGGGUGAUAAUUUCUACUAUAAAAACUCUUUGACCACUCACUAGGGAAGUGUUCAAUUUCCUUCUUUUGCCCUAUUUUUCUUCUAUCUUCUUAUCUUCUCUGAAUCAACAUUUGUUCUUUUGUUGGCUCUUUCUUGUAUAGCUGAAAUCGUUUCACUGAAGGACAUCACUCAAAAUUAAGUUGCUUCAAAAGAUAAGCAAUUUUAUAGAAAAGUGCUCUAGGCAAUCCCUGUAGAUACUUGCCCUUAGGCAUUUUGAAAUAUUUUGUCGAUACUUGCCUUUAACCAAUUUUUUAAAGACACCCUCGGGAAUUUUUUCCUUAGAAUAUUUUCAAGGAUUUGUCCCUUAAUUUUCUUGUAAAAAAUAGGCCUGAAGGACUUGGUGAAUUAAUAAUUGUCCUAAGGCAUUUUGUCAAGAUAUAGCCUUAGGUGUUUUGUCAAAACACUCCGUUAGGCCUAUUCUUAAGACAUACCUUUAAGCUUAUUAGUCGACUAUUACCUUUAGGCGUUUUAAUCAACAUCCAUGCAUAAGCCACUUUAGUCACAUUCACUCUUAGUCAUUUUGUUCAAAAAAUGCCUUAGUUAGCGCCUGCAUUUAGGUAUUUUAGUCAAUAUCUACCCUUAGUCGCCUUAGUAAGCACCUCAUUUGACUUUAAAUGUUUUAUUUACAAUAUUUUCCUAGUAUUAAUUAGGUCAAUCUUUUAAAAAGCAUACCUAAAUAAUUUUUUUAGAAUUGUAACCUUUUUGUUUUGUCGAAGACUAGCCUUUGUGGGCAUUUUUACUUAGAUUUUCCAAGUAUUUAGGUGAUUCUUUCUAAAGAGUAGACCUAAGCCAUUUUUUAUAGAAUUAAUUUUAGCUGUUUGUUGAAGACUUGCCCUUUGGGUAUUUUGUUUAAAAGUACUUUCAAGUACUUAGGUUAUUCUUUGCAAAUAAUGGGCCUGAGUCAUUCUUUAUAAAAUUAUAUCUUUCGCUCUUUGUCAAAGACUCGUUCUUUAGGCAUUUCAACUAAAAGUAUAUUCUUAGCAGUAAGGUAAUUCUUUGCAAAGAAUGGACUUGGUCAUUCUUUGUAGAAUUACACAUUUGGUGCCUUUUUGAAGACUCCCCUUUGGGUAUUUCACUAAGAAGUAUUUUCGUAGUACCUAGGUUAUUCUUUUUAGAAUUAUGCAUUUUGACAAUUUUUCUAAGACUUGCCUUUUGGACAUUUUAUUUAGAAAUAUUUUCUAAGUACCUGGAUCAUUCUUUUCAAAUAAUGUAUCUAAGCCAUUCUUUACAGAAUUAUGCCUUUAGCUAUUUGUCGAAGAUUUAUGCUCUGAGCAUUUUACUUAUAAAUAUUUCUUAAGUGUCUAGGUUAUUCCUUGUAAAGAAUGUAUCUAAGUCUUUUCUGUUGAAUCAAAGCCUUAGGUGUUUUGUCAUAUUUUACCUUUCUAGACACCUUACGAACAAUGUUUUUUUAACUUCUAAGGUCAUUCUUAUAGAGAAUGGACCUAGGUCAUUUUUGCAUAAUACGCUCGUAGGUUUUCUAAUACUUGCCCUUCAACAAUUUACUUAAAAUCUUCUAAAGAAUGGACCUAAGUCAUUUUGUGUAAUCACGCGCUUAAGCCCUUUAGCUAACAUCCAUGGUCCACCUUUUUCGUGCUUUAGUCAAAGUUUACAUUUAGGGUUUUUUUUUUAGCAUUCAUCCGCAUGCGCUUUUGUUAACACCUGUACUUAGGUGUUUUAAUCAACAUCCAUCUUAGGUACUUCAAUUAGCACCUGCACUUAAGUGUUUUAAUCAACAUUCACUCUUAGGUUCUUUAGGCAAUCACUUGCCUUAAGAUGUUUUGACAUCCACCUUUAGGUGAUUUAGAUGUUUUACUUAGAAUUCUUUCUAAGUAUCUAGGUCAUUAUUGUAGUGUUAUGCCUUUGGUGUUUCAUCAAAGACUUGUAUUUUGGCGUCUUAUUUAGAAUUAUUUCUAAUUAUCUAAGCAAGUCUUAUAAAGAAUGGACCUAUGUCAUUUUUGUAGAAUUACAUGUUGGUGCAUUUUUUCAAAGACUCACCUUUUAGGUAUUUAAAAAAAUUUUCUAACUGCUUAGGUCACUCUUUAUAAUGAAUGCACCUAGGUCAUUUUUUACCGUUAUUAACUUAGCAUUUCGUAAAAGAUUUAUGCUUUUAGGUGCUUUACUUAGAAUAUUUUCUAACUACCUAUCUCUUGUAAAGAAUGGAUGUAGAUAAUCUUUUUUAAGAAUCACACCAUUGGCUUCUUUUUGGAAAACUUGUUUUCUUCUUGUUUUUGCUUAAAAAUAUUUUCUAAAUAUCAAGAUUAUUUUUGUAAAGAAUGGAACUAGGCCAAUUUUAUUAAUUACGCCCUUGGCGUUAUGUCAAAGACUCCAUUAUUAGGCGUUUUUGUUUAAAAAUAUUUUCUAAAUACCUAAGUCAUAUUUUUUAAGAAUGGACUAUGGUUAUUUUUGUGAAGAAUGAACUUAGAUUAUUUUUGGUGAAUUAUGCCCUUGGCAUUUUGUCGACUACUCACCAUUUGUCAUCUCACUUAGAAUAUGUUUUUAGUACUUAAGUCACUGUCAUGAAGAAUAGACCUAGGUUAUAUUUUGUGUAGUUACACCUUUCCUUCUGUUAAGUUCAUUAUUUAUAGAGUUGGCAUCAUAUGGCAAGUCUAGUUAAAUUAGAAUUUUAUUUAUUGCAUAUCUUGUAAUAGGGAUUAAUUUAUUAAUUCCUUAAUUUAGUGAGAUUCCAAUAUAUUAGGAAUAUUUGUUUCCUAAUUUAAUUAGAUGUCUAAUUUAGAAAGUCUAUUAAUGGUGGGAUUUUAUAAUUGGCGCAUGAAAUCUAUGUAGAACAAGAAGUUGAUUUUUUUAUUUAUCUUCUCUUUCAUCUCUGUGGAGAGUCUAUGUGAAUCUUAGAUCACUAGACAUUGAAGAAUUGUUAUUGAUCACUUUAUGAAGUGUCUUGAGAAUCGUGGAUCAAGAGGGGUAGCAAUUAUUCAAGAGAAACAGAUUCAGUCUAAGGUUGAGUAAAUUGUAUGGUGAUAAACUGUAAGUGAGAGUCUUAAGUUUAAUAAAUUCAUAGGUUGUAACAUCUCAACUUAGUGAAUUACUUUUCAUCUGGGCGUAGCCUCGUGAAUAUAGGAUUGAUUAAUCUGAACUACUUAAAAACUCCGUUUCAUUUAUUUUCUGUAAUUUAUUGUAUUUCUAGAAAAUUAAUUUUUUUAUGCGGAUGAAUAGUAACUGUGAACAGUAAUCAUGAACAGUAGCGGUAAACAGUAUUUCUGAAAAUUAAUUAAGUUGUUAAUUUUUUUAAUUACCUACAUCUAUUUGCGAUACAUCUAAAUUCCUUUCUCUUUUUUUCUUUAAGACUCUUUUUUUAAGUGUCUUUUUAGAAAAUAAAUAUUUUAAAAUAUCUAUACCACUCUUUGUAAAAAAAAUAGACCCACACCAUUUUUGUAGUUACUUCCUUAGUGCUUUAUUGAGGACUCGCUAUUCUACCAUUUAGUUAAAAAAGAAAAGAAAAGAAAACUUCCAAGCACCUAGAUCAUCUUAUAAAGAAUGGACCUAGACCAUUAUAUAUAUAGAUUUACACCAUUGGCAUUUUGCGGAAGACAUACCUUUUGGGCAUUUUAACUAGGUCACUGUCGUAAAAAAUGCACCGAAGUCAUUUUUCAUAGAUCUAUGCCCUUGGCAUUUUUUUGAAGACACGCCAUUUGAGUGUUUUACUUAGAAGUUUUUUCUAAGAACCUAGGUUAGAAUGGACAUAUGUCAUUUUUUGUAUGGUUAUACCAUUGGCAUUUUCUCUAAGAUUGGUCUUUUGGGCAUUUUACUUAAAAAAUAAAAUAGUUUCUAAGCAUCUAGGCCCUCUUGUAAAGAAUGGACUUACAUCAUUUUUUUUAGAUCUAUGUCCGAGGCAUUUUUUUGAGUACAUGCCUUUUGGUUGUUUCACAUAGAAAUUUUUUUCUAAACAUGUAAGUCACUUUUGUAAAGAAUAGACCUGGGUUAAUUUUUUUUAUAGAUUUAUCUCCUAGUCAUUUUUUUCGAAGACAUGCCAUUUCAACAUUUUCCUUAGAAAUUUUCUCUAAACACCUAGGUCCCUAUUGUAAAGAAUGAACAUAGGUUAUUUUUUUACAUAGAUUACGUCCUUGGCGUUUUCUCCAAGAUCACCUUUUGGGCAUUUUACUUAAAAAAUUCUAGGUCACUCUUAUAAAGAAUGAAACUAGGUCUGUUUUUUAAUAUAUAUUUAUACCUUUGCGUUUUGUCGAAGACAUACCUUUUAGGCAUUUUACUGAAAAAGUUUUUUUGGGCAUUUUAUUUAGAAUUUUUUCUAAGGAUCUAAGCUACUCUUAUAAAGAAUGGACCUAUGUCAUUUUUAUAGAUUUAUGCCCUUGAUGUUUUGUUCAAGAGACGCCAUUUUUCCAAUUUACUUAUAAAUUUUUUCAAGCACUUGAGUUGCUAUUUUAAAGAAUGGACCUAGGUCAUUUUUUGUAUAUUAUGCCCUUGGCCUUUUGUCCAAGAUUCACCUUUUGAGCAUUUUACUUAUAAAAUAAAUAUUUUCUAAGCACCUAGCUCACUCUUGGAAGAAUGGAUUGAGAUCAUUUUUUUUUUAUAGAUUUACUCCUUGGCAUUUUAUCGAAGACAAGCCUUUGGGUGUUUUACAUAGAAAUUUUUUUCUAAGCACCUAGGUCACUCUUGUAAAGAAUAAACUUAACUCUUUUUUUUUUUAAUAAGUUUACACCCUUGGCGUGUUGUCGAAAGUACACCAUUUGGGAAUUUUACUUUGAAAAUUUUCUACUAGCUUUCUAUUACAAGGAGUGGACCUAGCCUUUUUUUUUAUUUAUAGGUUCAUAUACUUGAUAAAUUGUCAAAGACACACCAUUUGGGCAUUUUAUGUAGGUUUAAACAUCCAGGUUAUAUUAUAAAUAAUGGACCUAGGUGGUAUUUGUUUUUAAUGCAUUUAUGCCUUGGCUUUUGCGAAGACAUGUUAUUUGGGCAUUUUACUAAGAAAUUUUUUUCUAAGCAUCUAGGUCACUAUUUAACAAAAUGAAUAUUCUUUUACUUAGAAAUUUUUUCAAGCACCUAGUUAACUAUUGUAAAAAAUGGACCUAUGUCAUAUAAACAAAAUGGAUAUCAUUUUACUUAGAAAUAUUUCCAAACACCCUAGUUAACUAUUGUAAAAAAUGGAUCAGUACCAUUUUUUUUUUAUAGAUUUACGCCCUUGUCAUUUUGCCGAAGACACAUGUUUUGGGUAUUUUGCUUAGAAAUUUUCUCUAAGCACCUAGCUCUCAUAAAAAAUGGACAUAGGACCUUUUUAUAGAUUUAUGCCCUUGGCAUUUUGAUGAAGACACACCAUUUAGGUGCUUUAAUUAGAUUUUUUUAAGCGCAAAGGUCAAUAUUUUAAAGUAUGAUCAAAGUCAUUUUUUUUUUCAGAUUUAAGGUUUUACUAUUUUCUUUAAUACAUGCCUUUUAGGCUCUUUAUAUAGAAAUCCUUUCUAACCACCUAGGUCAAUUUUAUCAAGAAUAGACCUAGGACUUUUUUUUUAAUAAAAUUUUGCCUUGGUGUUUUACUUAAAAAUAUACUUAGAAAUAUUUUCUAAGUAUUUAGGUCAUUCUUUAUAAAAAAAAUGGACCUAGGUCAUUUUGCAUAAUGAGUUACACAUCAUCGUUUAGUUGAUUAUUGUAUUUCAAGUCUCACCUAGAAUAUUUUCUAUGUACCUAAGUCACAAUUUGUAGAUAAUAGACCUAGUCAUUUUUGUACAAUAAAUUACAUCUUGCCAUUUUGUCGAUGAAUUGCCAUUUGACGUCUUGUUGAUGACUCACCAUUUGGUGUCUUACUUAGAAUAUUUUCGAAGUGCCUAGCACAUCAUUUGUAAAGAGUAGACGAAAGUAAUUUUUUGUAGUGUCACACCCUUAGCAUUCUAUUUUACUUUAAAAUAUUUUUGAAGUACCUAAAUCACUUUUGUAAAGAAUGGAAAUAGGUCAUCUUUUGUAAAGUUACGCCCUCACUAUUCUAUUAAAAACUUGCCCUUUAGGCACUUGAUGUAAAAAUUAUUCUAAAUUACUAGGUUACUCUUUGUAAAGAAUUGACUUAUUUUAUUCUAUUUUUGUCAAUACUUGCCUUUAGCCACUUAGAUAAUAUUAUAGGCACCUAGGUCACCUUUAUAGAGAAAUGAUCAAGGUUUCUUUAUAGAUUCAUGUCAUUGGGCAUUCUAUCAAUACAUGCCAUUACACACUUCAUUGAGAUACGCUUAUAAGCAUUUUGUCAAGACUUACCACCCUUGGGCAUUUUAUCAAUACACAUCCUUGGGCCAAUGGUAGAGUUGCAACUAAGCAUAACAAUGAGGAUAAUGAAUCCCCUAGUUGUUACUUGACUCCACGGAUAAAAAAAUUAAGUUUUAUUAAAAGUCAAUAUAUGCAAUUCGCAGCCAUUAACCCUUGUCAUUAGAUAUAGAUCUCUACAUCCUUUGAACUUUCAUCAUUAGUUACAAUAUUAGGGUAUUUAUAAUUAUUGUCCACAAUCAAGAUAAACCAUUUUGGCCUUUUGUUCGUUCCUGACAGACAACGUCAAUUGUUGAUGCAAAUUUUUACAUAAUAAAUAGUAAUUAUUUUUGUUCUAGAAUUUCUUAUAUAUCAAAUCUUGUGGCCCAUUUUCUUUUUGAGGUGAGGAUCUCUAAUUACAUGGCUUCUUUUGGUGAAUUAUUCUACCAAAAAAAAAAUGUCAAUGGGUACCAGGGUUGUCGGCGAUAGCCCUACAAAGCCCAAGUUUGUGUUUUGUACUCAAUUUCAAUAGAGAGAAUGUUUGAAGGGAAGUAAACAUUAUUUUGGUACUCAUUUUAUGUCUUACCUCCAAAUAUAGGAGGUCUUAGCCUUUAUAGAGACAACUUGAAGCACUAAGGUGGACGACGUAUCAUGACAUGUGAGGUUGCUAUCGUGACAAGUGUCCAUAAAGCCCUUGCAUAAUAACACCUAUCAAUAUAUGUCAAUACUUGUUUAUGACAAUUAUUGUUUGGAAACUUGUCUUGAAUUUUGGCUCUUGACUUUUAAUAGGCUUGGGCUUGAAUUUGGCCCUGAUAUUGAUUCUUCAUUAAAAGGAUUGAUUUAGUGUCAUAUUGCCCAUAAGUGAACUUUUUGCAAAGUCUUUUCCCAUGGCACUUAGAAUAUUUUCAAGUAAUUGGCAUUAGUCUAUUCUUGUAGAGAAUGGCCCUAGGGCAUUUUUUAAUAAAUUUUGCGCGUAGGCAUAUUUGUAUAGUUUUGUUUAUAAGUACUUUACAUAAAGUUUUUAUUUACCUGUAAGCUCAUUCUAUAAAAUAUUUGUUUCACCUAGACUUAUUUCAUAGAAAGUAUAUUUACGAUGUAGGCGCAUCCCGUAAAUGUACUCUUAGCUCGUAGGCUGAUUCCGUAGAAUUGUUUUGGCUUAUAGGGUUAUUCCAUAGAAUAUUCUUUUGCUCGUAUGCGAAUUGAACAAAAUUUUUGUUGGCCCAUAGGCUCAUACGUUAGACUGUUGGCUUAUUCAUAAAAUGUAUGUUUGUCCAUAGGAGUCCAUACAAUAUAUUUUUGGCCGGUAAGCUCAUUCCGUAAAAUAUUUGUUUACCCAUUGUCACAUUUUAUAGAACAUUGAAUGGCCCAUAGGCUCAUUUCAUAGAAUUUAUGUUUGACCAUAGGAUCUUUACAUAAAUUAUUUCAUGUGUACCUAGGUCUAUUCUCUGCAAGAAUGAUGCACUAAUGUGUUUUUGUAGAUUGUCAACGUUACCCAAUUUACUUAGAAUACUUUCUAAGUACUCAAGUCAUUCCUGUAGACAAUAGACCUAGAUCAUUUUUGUAUAAUCACGCCCUUAAGGCAUUUAUCUAUUUUUUUGCUUAGGCAAUUUAAAUAAAAUACUUCCUUGGUUUGGUAAAAUAUGGGGUUGGGUCGGGCUUUUCCAAGCCCAGGCCCAAGCCCAUAUUAUUGACAAUAAGCCCAAGCUCUUCAAAAGGAUAGGCUGCGCUUGGGCCGAGCCUAGGCUUUUUUUUAUUAAAUAUGAAAUAAUUUUUUAAUAAAUUAAUAAAUAUUUAAAUUAAAGAUAACUAUCCGAUACAUAAUAAAAUAAUAAUCCAAUAUAAAAGAUAUUAAUAACACAACAUAAUAAAUCACAAAUACUAAUAUAAAAAAUAUUAAUUUAAUAUUUUGAGUUUUUUCUUUUUUAUUUAAAUUUAAUUUAUCUAGUAUUUGUGACUAUAAGAGUUUAUUAUUAUACUAGGUUUUAGUAGGUUUCGAUUAUAUUGGGCAUUAAUAUAUUAGACUGCAUAGACAAACUAUGUAGUCUCCUAGGGCCCCUAUUAUAUGAAGACCCUUUUUUUUGGGUAAUUCUCUAAUAGUACUUGAAUUAAUCAAUUUUUUAAGUUAGGCAUUGUGGGAAAGCUUAUUUUUUAGACCUAUCUAUAAUAAAUAAUUAUUCCACAAUUAAGAUUGUUUUAUAUAGAUUCUAUAGAUUGACAACCUUAAUGUUAAAGAACUAUAAGUCAUAAUAUUGGCUAACCGUUAAUUCAUUCAUUAUUAUUUUUUCAAUAAAAAAUUAAAUUAUUUAUCUUUAUGAUUUAAAAAAGGAACUUAAUUAUUUAAUAUUAAAAGUUUAUUGUGCUCUUCUCUACAAAGAAAAUUAUUAUAAAACUAUUAGCUCACUUUUGAAGUGAAAAAAAAAGUUUAUUGAAAUAAUGGUUAUAAUGGAUUAAAAAGAGAUCUUCUUCACUAUUUUUUUUUUUGGGAAUUUCUUAGUUUCCUAUUGAUCAUUGUUGAAAUUCAUGAUAUAAUUAGGGAUUGAUCCAAUUAACUUUUUUAUAUUUAUUUGAGUGUUGAAGUUGCUAAAUGUAAGGAAAUCUUAUAUAAAAAUUUCACCUAAGGCCCGUAAUACUCUAGAACUGACCCUAUUGGGCUAAUUGUAGGGAUGGCAAAGGGGAGAGGAGGAGAGGGGAUCGACAUCCAUGUAUCCAUCCCCAAUAUCUACAUAUGUCUUUGUCCCCUCCCCGUCUCCAUCAUAAUUGCUUGAGGGAAUCCCCGUCCCCUUCCCAAAUAAUAAUAGGGGAUCCCCGAGAGUCCCUGAUCCCCAAAAACCUUAUACGUUUUUUGUUUUUUAUUUUAAUUUAAUUAUAUUAAAUAAAAUUAAAUAAAAGCAGAGUUAAGGCAGUUGCUGGCUGUUGUUGAAAGUUAGAAAUUAUGUUUAUGAUUUUGCUUUAACUUUUUUUUAUUAGAUAAAAGUUUAAAAUAUUUAAUGAAUAUUAUAUUUAAAAACUUUUGGGUCAAUAGGAUCUUGUCUAGCCUUUUUAAUGUCCUAAAUAGAAAUUUAAGACUACAACUAGUCAACUAGGCCCAAAAGUUUAAUAAUAUAAAUAUUUUGAUAUUUGUUAUUUAUAUCAAUAUUUAAUAUUUUACAAUUAAAAUUUUAUUAUUUAUUCACUAAUAAUUUUAAAAAAUUAAAUUAAAUUAAAAAUUAAAAUGGAGAAAUGAGGAGGGGAUGAGGAUUCCACUUCAUCCCGUCCAUUUCCUGAAUAAGAAAUUAGGUAAAAAAUCAUUCUUGUCCAUUUCCUAAAUAAAAAAAUUGGGUAUAAAAUGGUUUGCAUAUCUUUUCCAAAUGGGAAAAUCCCCAAGGGUCGCCGUCCCCUUGGGGAUUUUUGCCAUCCCUAGUUAAUUGUACGUUUCUGUAAACUUCCUAGUUGAUUGUCUACUCAGUAAACUUUAGUUGUAAUUGACUUUGAUUAUUUUGUAAAUAAUAUUCAAUAAACAAAUGGCGAGAGAAUCAAUAUUUUCUUAAAGAAGAUCCCAAAAAGAAAUAUAAUGAAUCUAAAGGUAAGAUGAUCAAAACUUUGACAAGAUCACAAUGAGAAAUAAAUGAAUUUUUGCAUUGAAAUCUAGUAUCAUCUAUGAUAAUGAUUUUUAGUAGAUGAUAAUGAAGAGAGCUUAUUAAAUGAUAAUUAUCAAAAGUGGGGGCGCGGCUACAGUACAUGCAUGUAUCUCAUACAUGCAUAAAAAAAUAGCCAUUGGAUUAAAUUGGAGUAGAUCGAAUGACUGAGAUUUUUUAUUGUUAUUAAAUAUGAAAGAAAUGGAAACCUCAAAAAUCGGUAAACAUGAAACAUGAGACCAAUAAAUAUGAAACACCUACCAUUAACUUGAAACUGGAUCAUUAAACUUGAAACCAAAUGAACUUGAAACUAAGGGCAAUGAACUUGAAACCGAGGGCAAUGAACAUGAAUUUUAAGAUCCAACUUGAAACUAUAACCAUUAAACUAAAAUUCAAAGGAACUUGAAAUUUAGAGCAAUGAACAUGGAACUUGAGAUUAUUAACUUGCAACUCUGAAAAUCAUGCAAUUAAUGGACCAAUAAACAUGAAACACCUACCAUUAACUUGAAAUUGGGACCAUUAAAUUUGAAAUCAAAUGAACUUCAAACUGAGGGCAAUGAACAUGAAACUUAUGAUCAUUAACUUGCAACGCCAAUUAAUGGACCAAUAAACAUGAAACACCUACCAUUAACUUGAAAGUGGGACCAUGAAACUUAAAACCAAAUGAACUUCAAACUGAGGGCAAUGAACAUGAAACUUAGGAUCAUUAACUUGCAACCUUGAUUAAUGGACCAAUAAACAUGAAAUACCUACCAUUAACUUGAAACUGAGAUCAGUAAACUGGAAACCAAAUGAACUUCAAACUGAGGCAAUGAACUUGAAAUUGAUGGCAAUGAACAUGAAACUUAGGAUCAUUAACUUGAAACCCCGAUUAAUUGACCAAUAAAUAUGAAAUACCUACCAUUAACUUGAAACUAUAACCAUUAAACUAAAAUUCAAAGGAACUUGAAAUUUAGAGCAAUGAACAUGGAACUUGAGAUUAUUAACUUGCAACUCUGAAAAUCAUGCAAUUAAUGGAUCAAUAAACAUGAAACACCUACCAUUAACUUGAAAUUAAGACCAUUAAACUUGAAACCAAAGAAACUUGAAACUUAGAGCAAUGAACAUGGAACUUAGAAUAAUUAACUUGUAACCCCAAAAAUCAUGCAAUUAAUGGACCAAUAAACAUAAAACACCCACCAUUAAACUUGAAACUAAUUUUUAAUUAUUAUAAAACUAAUUGUUUAUUAUUAUGUUGCCUUUAUUAUUAAAAUAAUUAUUAUUUUAUUUAUUACAUUAUUUUAUAAUAUAAUAUUUAUUAAGGAGCAAUGCUCCAAGGUUUUUUUUUAUGUUUGGCUGCCAAGUGCCAGCCAAAGAAUGGCCAUAUUUUUUUAAUUUUUUUAUUACCCGCAUGUAUGUGAUACAUGUGGGUAUUGUAGCGUGGGAAUGCCUAAGUUACGAUCAAUGUAUCUUACGAUUUUUGUCUUUUUCUUCUUUGGCUAAUUUCUUUUGGGUCCUUUUAUUUUUUAACUUUUACAAUUGUGGAUGUAUUUGAUUUCUUCCAUCCCUUCUACACCUAUUUCUUAUUUUUUCUAAGAUUUUGUUUAUUUCCUUAAAUAACAUUAAAUGGUUAUCAAAUUCAUAUAAAUCUAUAAUUUCAGAGUAGAUUUUUGGUCCUAAAUUUAUUAUUCCUAUUCUUUCUUGUUCUAGUAAAUCUAUUUUCUGAUUUAUUAGAGUUAUAUAUGUAUUUAAUAUGUUUUCCCAUCCUAAAAUCAUAUGAUCUAUACAAUCUGCUAAUUCAUGUAUUAUAUUAAAUGCAUGUUGAUUAUGAUUCAUAAUGCUUCCUUCUUAUACCAAUAUACUAGAAAUUUUAUAAAUUCAUCUAUAAACUACAUUUUCUUUUCUAUUAAUAUUUCUCCUCCAGUUGUGUCUAUUUGCCUUUCUCUAAGUUCUUCUGUUAAUUCGAGUUCUAUAUUUCUUAUAUUAUUUUUAUCAGUUUUUAAAGCCAUUAUAAGGUUUUUUAUUUCUUCUUUGUUAUAUACUUUUAAAGUAUAUAUGCUGUUAACUAUUGUUUGUAUUGGAUCCAUCAAUUAGACUUAUAUGAAAUAAAAUAUUAUUAAAGUUUUAAUUCGUAAGAGUUAUGAUUCUAGUUAUGGCUCUGAUACCAUCGUGUUUCUGAUGAAACUAAGAUUUAAACAAAUUUAAACAAAACUAAGAUAAGAUUUAAACAAAUUUAAACAAAACUAAGAUUAACUAAGAUUUAAACUGAAUAUCAAAUUUAGACUGAGAAUUAAAAUUUAGAAUGACUGAGUAUUACAGAAAGAUAUAUUUCAUUUAUUAUGUGUAUGUCAAAACUUUCUAUAGUAUAUAUCUAUCAUAUCCCGUGUCACUAUUAUUUCUUAAAAAUAUGGCUAUAACUUGUUCUCCAUCAAUUGUUCUAGGGAAUGUAUUAGGAAGAGUAGGAACAUAUAAGUCAUAAUAAUUAUUAUCAGUUUCCAAAAUAUAUGUAGGAUUAAAACUUCCUGUUACAUUUUCUGAAUAAAAUAUUUCUACUUUUAUAAAAUAUAUAUUAUUGUUUAUUAUACUAGUGUAAUACCUGAUUUCAUUAUAAAUUUCCAUGAUUAUAGAUUGAUUAUAGGUACGUGGCUUGUUAUCCCAAAGUACAGAGGAUACUAACGCCCAGUCGGGAUCGUCUAUCCAAUUUACGUCAUGGGUUGCUUGCCUAUAUACCUUAUAAUCCUUAUAGUAUAUAUUUUAUAGUUCAAGUUCUUCAUUAUCUGAAUUUUCUAAGUAGUUUAUGUAUGAUGGUCCAAUUUCUCUACUUCCAUGUUUUACAUAUGCCAAGGCUAUGUCAAUUCCUUGUUCUACAGUUAACAUAAUUAUGUUAUGCUUUAAAGUGUCUAUUUCUAUAUGGUUUAUAAUUUUUCUUUUUAUUUCUUUUGGUAAUUCAAGCUUAUACACUGCUUGUAGUUCUCCUGUUCUAACAAGUUCGUCUUUAUUUAAAAGAUAAGAACUUUGUUUAAAUGAUCCUAAAUUAAAGUCUAUUAUUAUUGUAUAAUCAUUAUAUGUUAUCCUAGUUUUUGGGUUUACCAUAUAUUCUUUAGAAUUUCCUAAUAAGAUAUCGUUAUUCAUCAAAAUAUUUCACUUCAAAAAAUUAGCUCUUCCUCUAUAAAUCUCCUCAUCAACUAUCAUCAACAAACUUCCACCAACAGAUAAGGAUUAAGAAUUAGUACCUAAGUUAUUCUUGUUCCUUUACCUUAUGAUCUUUCUCCAGUGACCUGCAGCCUUGUUGUCCUUAUUCCCUCAAUGGCCUCCUUGCCUCAACGGGAUCAGCGGACUCGAGUGGCCUUACUGUAUGGAAUACGAUCGUAGUGCUUAGGAAUUUUGAAUAAAUUUAGGUUUCCCUUUCCUUUCUAUGGUGAUUUUUGUUUUUGAUUAGUGAUGUAUUGAUUUAGGAUUCUGAGCUAAAAAGAGGUUUUAGCUGAUCAUUUUAGAACGAAGAUGAUGGAAGAUAAUGGAGUUAUGGCUGAAUGAUAAGCUCUUAGAGCUUAUUGCUUUUAUUUAUAU